rnacentral:rRNA from 1 species
GACGAACGCUGGCGGCGUGCUUAACACAUGCAAGUCGAACGGAAAGGCCCCUUUGGGGGUACUCGAGUGGCGAACGGGUGAGUAACACGUGAGUAACCUGCCCUUGACUUCGGGAUAACUUCAGGAAACUGGGGCUAAUACCGGAUAGGAAUCCUUGCUGCAUGGUGGGGGUUGGAAAGCUUCGGCGGUUUUGGAUGGACUCGCGGCUUAUCAGCUUGUUGGUGGGGUAGUGGCUUACCAAGGCUUUGACGGGUAGCCGGCCUGAGAGGGCGACCGGCCACAUUGGGACUGAGAUACGGCCCAGACUCCUACGGGAGGCAGCAGUGGGGAAUAUUGCACAAUGGGCGGAAGCCUGAUGCAGCAACGCCGCGUGCGGGGUGACGGCCUUCGGGUUGUAAACCGCUUUCAGCAGGGGCGAAGCUUGUGGUGACGGUACCUGCAGAAGAAGCACCGGCUAACUACGUG